CUAACCCUAACCCUAACCCUAACCCUAACCCUAUCCCCAAAACUAACCCUUAGCCAAACCCCUACCCUAACCCUAACCCUAACUCUGACCCUAACCCUAACCCUACCCUUACCUUAACUCUAAACCUAACCCUAACUCAUGCCGUAACCCUAAACCUAACGCUAACGAUAGCCCUGGCGGUAACCCUAACCCUAAAAAUAACCCUAUCACUAACCCUACCCAAAUACAAACUCAAACCCCAAUCCUACCCUGAACGA
rnacentral:lncRNA from 1 species